CAGGAGGCCCUAAGUUUCAAUCUUGCGAUCGUACUUCCCAGGGGGAAACUUAAUGCUUUCGCUCAGACACACACAGUGUAUCGCGUAUGUCGAGUAUCCAUAGUUUAGGGCGUGGACUACCAGGGUAUCUAAUCCUGUUUGAUCCCCACGCUUUCGUGCCUCAGUGUCAAUAUAUGCGUAGCCAGCUGCCUUCGCAAUUGGUGUUCUAUGUCAUCUCUAAGCAUUUCACCGCUACAUGACAUAUUCCGCUGACCUCCACAAUAUUCAAGAUUAAUAGUAUCAAUGGCAGUUUCCAAGUUAAGCUCGGAGAUUUCACCACUGACUUACCAACCCACCUACGCACCCUUUAAACCCAGUGAAUCCGGAUAACGCUUGCACCCUCCGUAUUACCGCGGCUGCUGGCACA
rnacentral:rRNA from 1 species